rnacentral:rRNA from 1 species
CCUACGGGUGGCAGCAGUAGAGAAUUUUCGUCAAUGGGCGCAAGCCUGAACGAGCAAUGCCGCGUGAACGAGGAAGGUCUUCGGAUCGUAAAGUUCUGUUGAAGGGGAAAAAGAGCGGAGAGAGGAAAUGAACUCCGAUUGAUAUUACCCUUCGAGGAAGUCACGGCUAACUACGUGCCAGCAGCGGCGGUAAUACGUAGGUGGCGAGCGUUAUCCGGAAUGAUUGGGGGUAAAGGGUGCGUAGGCGGCCUGCUAAGCCUGGAGUGAAAGGUACCGGCUCAACCGGUACAGGCUCUGGAAACUGGCGGGCUAGAGAGCAGGAGAGGGCGGUGGAACUCCAUGUGUAGCGGUAAAAUGCGUAGAUAUAUGGAAGAACACCAGUGGCGAAGGCGGCCGCCUGGCCUGUUACUGACGCUGAGGCACGAAAGCGUGGGGAGCAAAUAGGAUUAGAUACCCCAGUAGUC